rnacentral:rRNA from 1 species
GUGUCAGCAGCCGCGGUAACACGUAGGAGACAAGCGUUAUCCGGAUUUACUGGGCGUAAAGCGCGUGCAGGCGGUUUGGAAAGUUGGAUGUGAAAGCUCCCGGCUUAACUGGGAGAGGUCAUUCAAAACUUCCAGACUAGAGAGUGGUAGAGGAAGGUGGAAUUCCGGGUGUAGUGGUGAAAUGCGUAGAUAUCCGGAGGAACACCAGUGGCGAAAGCGGCCUUCUGGACCAUUUCUGACGCUCAGACGCGAAAGCUAGGGUAGCAAACGGGAUUAGAGACCCCGGUAGUCCUAGCCGUAAACUAUGUUGACUUGGCGUUGGUGGGUUAAUAUCCGCCAGUGCCGUAGCUAACGCGAUAAGUCAACCGCCUGGGGACUACGAUCGCAAGAUUAAAACUCAAAGGAAUUGGCGGGG